GUUCUUUGUGGCGAAAGAAGUUUCUUCAGGUUACAAAAAGGAAAAUGGAACCAAGGAGACAGCUACAUUUGGUAAGUUGAAUUCUACUUUAUGUUGUUAUGUAAAUUCACAGAAAUAAAAAUCUUGCACUUUUUAUCCAUAUAGGAAUGCAGUAUCAAGGUGUUGAAUGGCAUAGCAGAGAAAAAACAAUCCAAACACAAAGAAUCACAUCUUUCACUCGUUUGACAGUUCAAGACAAUGCCAACUUCACUGAAAAAGAAGGAUAUGUGCCGUGGAUGGAUACACCAGAGUAUCCGACACCAAACAAUAGCAGAUACUUCAUCCUGGAUGACAAUAAUGAAUCUCUGAAAGUCCUUCGCGAUGGAACAUACAAGGUUUCUCUUCAGAUUACGUACAAAAAAAUAUUCAGCGAAAACACAAGUGAAAUAUUUCUGCAACAUGAUAUUCGUCAUUGUACUGAGGCAUAUGAUGGAGCCCUGACCCUGCUCGUCCACUGUGAAACAGUCAACCUCAAAUACUGGACGAAAACUCUGUUCUCUGAGGGUAUUUUUUCUCUCAAAGCUGGGGACAGACUCAAGGUGUGGUCCAACAAUCGGAAACUCAUUGACUUUAAAGGGCAAAUUUCGCAAAAAACAGCCUUUGUGGCAUAUCCUCAUUUUUCCACAUGA
rnacentral:lncRNA from 1 species